GGAAAAUUCGGCAUCAAUUGACCUGGUGGCACAUGGCCAGUGGAGUUUCGAGGUGGCAAGUCGGUAGAGGUGGUACUGGACAUGACGCCAACAGUCGGGCAACAUUUGGCAAUUGGGUGGCAAAGAAGUGUUUGGACAAGGGAUCUUCCUACGAAAACGUGUGGAGAAAAGGGAGUCAUUGGUUCUAGGAAAGUGACCAGGUGGUGCUGAUGCUUUUCCUAGUCAGAUCCUACCUCACUUCUUUGUUUCUUCUUCUUUCGAUCCAUCAAAGUGAAAGAGCGUAUACACAAAAUCACUUCUUUAUUUCUUCUUGUUUGAUAGUAAAAGUUAGCGUAGGAUCCACGUUCUUUCUUGGCGUAUCGUUUGUCUUCAUGGUUUAAUUGUAUCGAGAUUGUUAACACGUGUCCUGGCAGAUUAAGCUUUUAGGAAAGACGGUUUCUCUAUGAUAAACAGAAAGCUGAAGUUGACGGCGACGUGCAGAUGUGCUGCUACUGUAUUGGCUCCGACUUAUGAGAUUGACGACGACGACUAGAGGAAGAGAAGGAUGGGUGGUGCUUUCGGAAGUGUUUGCACAAACUCUAUGCCAAUGAUAUUAGAUCUUAUUAGGAAAACGGUUCGUCUAACAAAUGGCACGAAAAUAAACUCGUGAGAUUCUUUUCUUUCCAUAUCCACAUUUCGCAUGGAAAAUCAAAUCUGGGAAGAUUUCAGGAUUGCAAGAGAGGAGGAGGAGAGAAAUUUCUACUAAAGAAUACAUCUUCAUUCGGAAAACCUCACGGUCAAUGAUCUUCAAAUCGUGUGCAAAUCAACUUGCAAUCGCGACAGAAUAGUCGGCGAAAUUUUAGCAUCUGAAGUAAAUCACUGCACAUGACCUAAUCUGCUCAAACAAAAUCAUCACAUCGUUCUACUACUGUUUUUCUCUCGACAGUCAAAAACUAUCUUCUUUCGGAUUUGUUAUGUUGCGACUUGCGAGGGAUCCCGUUCCUGGCAAUGUAUUCAUCCCACACUUCCACAGAGGCAACCGAUAUGUACAACUUGGAAGAUGCUAAUGUUGGCUCUUCAGAUGAUACGUACAGUUCAUGCUACCAAUGCAGGCCAAAGCUUCCGGCUUGCAUUAGCGGGU